AUUGAACGCUGGCGGCAGGCCUAACACAUGCAAGUCGAACGAGUGGUGGACGGGUGAGUAAUGUCUGGGAAACUGCCUGAUGGAGGGGGAUAACUACUGGAAACGGUAGCUAAUACCGCAUACCCUCAGAUGUGCCCAGAUGGGAUUAACUUGUGGGUGGGGUAACGGUUUACCAAGGCGACGAGCCCUAGCUGGUCUGGGAGGAUGACCAGGCACACUGGAACGGAGAAACGGCCCAGACUGCUACGGGAGGCAGCAGAGGGGAAUAUUGCACAAUGGGCGCAAGCCUGAUGCAGCAAGGCCGCGUGUAUGAAGAAGGCCUUCGGGUUGUAAAGUAAUUUCAGCGGGGAGGCGUUACCCGCAGAAGAAGCACCGGCUAACUCCGUGCCAGCAGCCGCGGUAAUUC
rnacentral:rRNA from 1 species